GACGAACGCUGGCGGCGUGCCUAAUACAUGCAAGUAGAACGCACAGUUUAUACCAUAGCUUGCUACACCAUAAACUGUGAGUUGCGAACGGGUGAGUAACGCGUAGGUAACCUGCCUGGUAGCGGGGGAUAACUAUUGGAAACGAUAGCUAAUACCGCAUAAUAUUGAUUAUUGCAUGAUAAUUGAUUGAAAGAUGCUAUUGCAUCACUACCAGAUGGACCUGCGUUGUAUUAGCUAGUAGGUGAGGUAACGGCUCACCUAGGCGACGAUACAUAGCCGACCUGAGAGGGUGAUCGGCCACACUGGGACUGAGACACGGCCCAGACUCCUACGGGAGGCAGCAGUAGGGAAUCUUCGGCAAUGGACGAAAGUCUGACCGAGCAACGCCGCGUGAGUGAAGAAGGUUUUCGGAUCGUAAAGCUCUGUUGUAAGAGAAGAACGGGUGUGAGAGUGGAAAGUUCACACUGUGACGGUAUCUUACCAGAAAGGGACGGCUAACUACGUG
rnacentral:rRNA from 1 species